UGCUGGAGCGGCCGCCUCCACAGCUGCCUGUGGUGGGAUCCGGUUGAAGAGGAAGCGGAGGCGACACUCUCCUCGGCCCCCUUGCCUCGGUCUUCUGUGGACCUUCAAGGGGAAGCACAGUACUUGCUCACGUGUUGCUAGAGGAGGAGUGGACAACACCAGAAUGAGUCUGCAUGGUGCUAGUGGGGGACAUGAGAGAUCAAGAGACAGGCGGAGGUCAAGUGACCGAUCACGAGAUUCAUCUCAUGAAAGAACAGAAUCUCAGCUCACUCCUUGUAUUCGAAAUGUUACUUCUCCAACAUGACAGCACCAUAUCGAAAGAGAAAGAGAAAAAGAUCAUAGUUCUUCUCGUCCAAGCAGUCCUCGUCUUCAAAAAGCAUCUCCAAAUGGUUCAGUUAGCAGUGCUGGGAGCAGCAGCAGAAACAGUAGUCAGUCAAGUUCAGAUGGCAGCUGUAAGACAACCGGGGAGAUGGUGUUCGUAUAUGAAAAUCCAAAAGAAGGCGCUCGGAAUGUGAGAACAUCAGAACGAGUGACGCUAAUAGUGGAUAACACUAGAUUUGUUGUGGACCCAUCCAUUUUUACUGCACAGCCAAAUACAAUGUUGGGCAGAAUGUUUGGGUCUGGCCGAGAGCAUAAUUUUACACGUCCCAAUGAGAAAGGAGAGUAUGAGGUUGCAGAAGGAAUUGGUUCCACUGUAUUUCGAGCCAUUCUGGAUUACUAUAAGACAGGAAUAAUUCGUUGUCCUGAUGGCAUAUCUAUUCCUGAGCUGAGAGAAGCGUGUGAUUAUCUCUGUAUCUCUUUUGAAUAUAGUACUAUUAAAUGUAGAGAUCUCAGUGCCCUGAUGCAUGAGUUGUCAAAUGAUGGUGCUCGUAGGCAAUUUGAAUUUUAUCUUGAAGAAAUGAUCCUUCCUCUCAUGGUAGCUAGUGCCCAGAGUGGGGAGCGAGAAUGCCAUAUAGUGGUGCUCACGGAUGAUGACGUAGUCGACUGGGAUGAAGAGUAUCCACCACAGAUGGGUGAAGAGUAUUCACAAAUUAUUUAUAGCACAAAAUUGUAUAGAUUUUUCAAGUACAUUGAAAACAGAGAUGUGGCCAAAUCAGUUUUGAAGGAGAGGGGUCUUAAGAAGAUUAGAUUGGGAAUAGAAGGUUAUCCUACAUACAAAGAAAAAGUAAAGAAAAGGCCUGGAGGCCGCCCAGAAGUCAUUUACAACUAUGUCCAAAGACCCUUUAUUCGAAUGUCCUGGGAGAAAGAAGAAGGAAAGAGUCGGCAUGUAGACUUUCAGUGUGUAAAGAGUAAAUCUAUCACCAACCUGGCAGCAGCUGCUGCAGACAUUCCCCAGGACCAGCUGGUAGUCAUGCACCCCACUCCACAGGUGGACGAGCUGGACAUCCUUCCCAUCCAUCCCCCUUCUGGCAGCAGUGACCUCGAUCCUGACGCUCAGAACCCAAUGCUGUGACGCUGUCGUUGAAACCGUAGCAUGCUACUCUUCUCAGUCUCAUUCCGCACUGCAAGGCCGCUCUCCUUCAUUGUGAGGUGCACAUGUGUAGGGUAUUGCAGUGUAGGUAUUUUUGAAGACCAAAGGCAGCUGAAUGGUUUUUUUAAAUGAGUACAACUCUAGCAUCCUGAGGUUCCAGUUAUAAAAAUGUAUUUGUUUACCAGUAGAUUUGUGAAAUUGGUUCUUUGUAUGGGGAAUAGUCCUUUUUCACACAUAUAGGUCUUUUCAGAAGUGAUGGAAAUUGGUAGCUGGGGUGUUUUCAACAAAGACUGAUAUUCAUCAUACCCCAGAUAAAAGGCAGAUUAUUAUAUAGUUGCACUUUAUAAAUGGUGGUUAAUUGGAAUUGUUCAAGCCAUUUUAGAGUUGUGAUGUAUAAUAUAACUUAAGUGCUUCUAUCAAAGUUUUCCUUCAGUAAAAUGUUUAUAGUUUGCUGCCCAUGGUGAAAAAAUAGUAUUUAUCUUGGGCUUAUUUGAAUGGUUAGGAUGAGAUUUAGUGCUCAUGUCUUACUGGUUCACUCACUUCUAUCCAGUGCCGUUUCACCCUUUCAGAGUGAGUCACAUGCAGGGAGUGUGAACAUCAGAGGUGGUUUAUUAUCCAGUCUGCCUUACCCUUAAUCUGUUCACAGAUACUUAUUACUAAUGCUUUUUUUCUUAAGCGUUAUGAGAUAGGAAAAUGAAGUGUUUGCUCUUCAUUUACUAAAUGAUUGUAAACUCAAGUUUUUCAUCGAAAUAAAAUUCCAUUGGUUUU